GAUGAACGCUGGCGGCGUGCCUAAUACAUGCAAGUCGAGCGAACGGACGAUAAGCUUGCUUCUCUGAUGUUAGCGGCGGACGGGUGAGUAACACGUGGAUAACCUACCUAUAAGACUGGGAUAACUUCGGGAAACCGGGGCUAAUACCGGAUGAUAUUUUGAACCGCAUGGUUCAAAAGUGAAAGACGGUCUUGCUGUCACUUAUAGGUGGAUCCGCGCUGCAUUAGCUAGUUGGUAAGGUAACGGCUUACCAAGGCAACGAUGCAUAGCCGACCUGAGAGGGUGAUCGGCCACACUGGAACUGAGACACGGUCCAGACUCCUACGGGAGGCAGCAGUAGGGAAUCUUCCGCAAUGGGCGAAAGCCUGACGGAGCAACGCCGCGUGAGUGAUGAAGGUCUUCGGAUCGUAAAACUCUGUUAUUAGGGAAGAACAUAUGUGUAAGUAACUGUGCACAUCUUGACGGUACCUAAUCAGAAAGCCACGGCUAACUACGUG
rnacentral:rRNA from 1 species